rnacentral:rRNA from 1 species
CAGGGAGGUAGUGACAAGACAUCUUAGGGUUUUUGGUUAUUCUAAGAACCACUGAAAUGAGUGUGAGAUAAAGCUUUACACGAGGAUCAAUUGGAGGGCAAGUCUGGUGCCAGCAGCCGCGGUAAUUCCAGCUCCAAUAGCGUAUAUAAAAGUUGCUGCAGUUAAAAAGCUCGUAGUUGGAUUUUGAGAUGUGGGGUGUUUUGGGUAUGUAUUUGGUCGCUUGGUUCAUCCAUGCGUACUAUAUUUUCCCAACCGCCCUUACAUAUUUUUUUUUGUUGAAGGAGCGUCAAAAACUCUUUCAAGAAAGACUGUUACUUUGAGUAAAUUUGAGCGUUCAAAGCAGACGAGUAUGUCUUGAAAAUUCUAGCAUGGGAUAACGUUUGAUGACUGUGGGUCAUGUCGUUGGUCUAUGACUGCCGCGGUAAUGAUGGAGAGGGACAGUCGGGGGCAUUCGUAUUUCAUUGUCAGAGGUGAAAUUCUUGGAUUUGUGAAAGACGAACUAUUGCGAAAGCAUUUGCCAAGGAUGUUUUCAUUAAUCAAGAACGAAGGUGGAGGGCGCGAAGACGAUUAGAUACCGUCCUAGUCUCUACAGUAAACGAUGCCAACUAGGGAUUUUUGGGUCAUUUUAUGGGGGUGAUUAUAAAACCACCCCCCAAGAAGAUUGAGAGAGAAAAAACCCGGAG